ACAGGACUGAGAUACCAAUGGUUAAACUAGCGAUAGAACAUACUGCUAUUGCUAAAUAGAAAUAACCAAGCACCUGCACUUUGGAGCAGGACUUGGGCUGGUCCUAGGACUUGGACUAGGAGAGGCUGGUGAAAGAAAGUUGUUUCUUCACUCAGCUGAUUCUGCUUACUGCUGAGGGUAACUUUACAGGAAGAGUGCUCUGCCUGGGCUCCUUUACCGUGGCUAUUUAAUGGCUGAAAAACUGAAAAAAGAACUAUGUUUUCUUCACAAGCUGCGACCUUCCUAAAGUAAUCAUCUAGCACAAGUUUGCCUCCUGGACUAUUCCAGAAAUUGAUCUUCCAGUAACUGAGAGAACUCAAAAAUACCCAAUGCUGAUGUGGCUUCAGUAGUCAUUGUGGUCUCUUCCUCAGAAGAAAGUCUGAAAAUAGGGGUCCCCACAGGGUUUUGUUCUGUAGUUUACAGAGGCUAUAAAUAUAUUAAUCAACCCUAAUGAUUCUCCAGAAUAUAUUCACUUCAAUACUAAUGGCUAGAUUGCCCCAUAAUGAAGAGAGAUUUUAUGAUAUUUUUGUCUAGUUCUAUUGCACUUUUAGUGGCUGGAGAGAUUCCAUUUAAGUUAAUCUCGUGUCUCUCCUUCAGGAAGCAAGGUCAUGUCCAGUAUCAGUUAAAUAUAUGGCACUACGCCUAUCAAGACUUUUGGAUCUUGCAGUUCCAGGGGCAGAUUUCAACACACGCAGUCCUUUACUAAUAUUAAAUAGCAAAAUUGCCUUAAGGAUCAUUAAAACCGUUGUGAUUUUUUUGUGCAUCUGCUGUUUGUCUCUCAGUGGAAUCUGACCUCUCCUUGCUUUGUGUGCCUUGAAGGGCUUCCUGCAGUCUAGAGAGGAGGUUGGUGCAGUAUCCUCCUGCAGACAAAGUCCCCGCUGCGUUCUUAAAGACAGUGAUGUAGCACCUUUGGUGGGCGUCUGCUGACAGCCUCAGAGGAUGGAGUUGAGGUCACUGCCCCAGUACAUGCACUGUGCGGACCUCCCGAUGUUGUCUUACCUCUCUUUGAAUGGCAAAUACUGCCACCGGGGGACAAUGCGGCGGUUAUCGGAGCGAAAGGGGCAGAACAACCUGUAGCACUGUCUGUCUCAGGAUCUUGCAGGAGGUGCACUCUCAGAGUCACCGGCUUGCCAGAACUCUCCUGGAUUUACACACAGAAAUGCGGAGACAGAGAAAUGAAAACGAACUGUCAGCUGCUUCUGAAUCCAGAGCGCUGAAUGUUGCCGUGAGCCCAAAAUAACAAACUGUGUUUCAAGGCACAGACCCUGAAGACGAAGCACGCAUUCCUGAAAUGGUUCUGACAGCGGCGUUACGGAUAAGCUGCACGAGCUUCUUGAUCCGAUCCGGUAGCAGAACACAUGGCAUUGUUUGGAAAUCACAGACGUGUUCUAGAGAGGGUGGAGGGAAAAGAGAUGUCUGUAUCAGAGUUGGCAGUUGCACUUGUCUUUGUGGGAGAACAGGUUGCCUACAGAAUAGUGCACUUUCAAAUGGUGCAUUCAUUGAGGUCUCUGUCUUUACUGGAUGGAUGUGUAGAUGUCAGCACAGCAGAUUGGUCUCAUGGCACUGUGGUCGCUUACAUUCAUCGUUACAGCAUUUGGGGGCUGCAGCUGCCGAUACGCACAGGGUGACCUUCCUGUUUCCGAAUGCUAUUAAGUCCUAAUGGCAGGAGACCUCUGCAUCCUGAGGGAAGGAUUUAAACCACCGAAACUGCGCCGGCUGGCAGAACAGAAUUUACCAGCCCUUGGAGGAAGGCUAGAUGGAAUCUGAACAACCUCUGGGUCAGCCUGUGGCAGCAGAGGAUCCCUCCUCCCAUGGAAGAGGUGUUCGUACCGCUCAGGUGCCGCAGUGCUGCGCCGGCAGUCCCACCACAGCCCCCAGCAGAGGCACCUGGCAGGGCUGCCUCCAGCCCAGCUCAACAACACGAGCUGAACGAGCCCAAGUGCUUUCUGAAAGCACAGCUGUGCCCAGAUCGGGGCAGUUCCUGGCAUCACUAGGUGCGAUUUUUCCAUGCUCAUAGCCAGCAUAGUUACGCCUCUGAAACUUUGUAGUAGAGACCUGGCUGGAAUCCUUCAGAUCCUCGCUCUCAGCCUUGGCAAAGCAAGCCCUCUAACUCUGUUGGAGCCAAGGCAGCUCAGCUCUUCCCAUUUAACAGUCCAGACCUUGUUCUUUCAGUGACCAGAAAAGUUGUUCCUGCGGGAAUGGCUUAUCUCUCUGUUCACUGCUUCAUAUCCUGCCUAAAACACUACUAUGGGAUGUAUGGCUGCUCUACUGGAUGCCAAUAUCCAUCCUGUGCUUUUGGAAAGGCAAUUCAAAUUCUGUGCACAGGCUUCUGGCAUGCUGAAAGCUUUUGGUUGCCUGUGUCCAAAGGGCUUACUUGUACAUGUGUGCAGUGCUGGGUUAGCUGGCAGAAAAUAUCACAUUUCCAAACCCUCUGCAAGGAAUCAGUGCUGAAGUUCUGCCUCCCUGAUCUUGUAUUGAUGUUUCCUUUGCUAAUGGCAUGUUAGAACACAAGUUUUAUUUACCCAGGAUAAUAUUUCAUUUUGUCCAUGUGCUGAGGUGAUAAAGUACUUAAAUACAUUGGAUGAUCUUUUCCUAAUGCCAUUUGGUGUGUUUAUGUUGUGUUGCCAUUUUUUAGAGAUAAAAAGAGGCUGAAAGAGCACCAGAGCAUGGAAGAGAUACUUAUGAGUGUUGGGCCAUCAUCAGAGGAAAAAAGAGAGACAAAUAUGAAAAAGAAUGAGUGCUGUGUUUAGUACUUUCUUCUCAUCCUUCACACGGGCAUUUCUGGAAGAGUUCUGGUGUGAUACAGUGUGGUUAAGAUAAGCAGUGGCUGCAAAAGUGCAUAAAAAGUUAGAGAUGACCGACUGCGAUUUUUGCCCAGCCACCUCACAGUGGUGCUUCUCUUAGUGGUCCCUCAUUCAUUUGGACAAAGUAUCUUAGCACGAUAGGAUGUGAAACUUGGCCAUGAGGGGAGGUACACAGAUAAUUUGCUGGUUCUUUCAGCACUUGGAGAAGUUGAUUAUCAUCUGAGAAAGAUUCUCAAAUAUUGUUGAGUGCUGGUUCAAAUGCGACAUAUAAAUGAAGUGAGUUGGGGCUGUCUGCUGAUAUCCUCUAAAGCUACACAGCAGUGCUUCUACAAGAAGUAAGUGCCAGGCAAAGAAACCUGACUUACACAAGUGCAACGUUAUGGACGUGAAAACAAUCAAUGUCCAGAAUGAAAGGAGGCCAGAGAAAUAGUGGGACUCCCAUCACCCCUGUUCUAUUUUAAGGAAUGGUUGCUAGAUAAUGCCAUUCAUGGAGAGUGAAGAUGAAUGUUCUCCCAGUGAUACUUUACAAUAUUUUCAGUGGUAUAUUUGCUCAGCUUUGUAAAAUCCUGAUACAAGGGAACAAGUAAUAUGCAUCAAGUUUAUCGAAGCUCAUUAAUUUGAUGAAAUAUAUUGGAAGGAUUGAUUUAUUCACAAUAUUAAACAGCUACUUACGUGAAACUCUGCUUUCUGACUGGUAACGUGAGAACACACAUUGGUUGCUUGCUAUUUUGUUAAUACUUUCACAAAACCACAUCAGCCUCUUUGUUUUUCUGCUGUUUCUCACAGUUCAGCAGACAGCAACAUGCACUUAACAAAAAUAGAGAGGCUUAGAGACAUGUGCAAGAGACAGCUUCAGAAAAACUCUCAAGACAUGCUAAUCAUCUCUAAGAAGAAAAUAUGUUAUUGGCCUAGUAACCAAGGAACAGACAAAGCUUCCAGGAGAUAUGCAGACUUUAAAACAAUCUGCAGUAUAAUUCCACAUAAAUGGCACCAAAACAAUCUCCAAGGGAGUUGCUGCAUCAUUUUGUCACAGCUCAGCACAACACUUGGUCACUAAAUGAUGCAGCUCUUUGAUAUCUCAUUCCCAUUUUGGUUUGCUUAGGCAAAUCCAGAUGAUCUCUGCCCUGUGCAUCAGUGGAUGCUACAAUCAUUAUGGCUGUGCUCAGGCCCCCAUUCCACAGGAAGAACCACUGGAAUUGUUUACUAUGGAGAAAAGGAGGCUGAAGGGAGACCUUAUUGCUCUCUUCCAGUACCUGAAAGGUGAUUGCAGUGGGAGCAGGGCUGGUCUCUUCUCACUGGUGACAGGACGAGGGGAAAUGGCCCCAAGUUGCACCAGGGGAGGUUUAGGUUGGAUAUCAGGAAAAACUUCUCUACUGAAAGGGCUGUUAAGCACAGGAAUAGGCUCCCCAGGGAGGUGGUUGAGUCACCAUCCCUGAAUGUGUUUAAAAACCAUCUGGAUGUGGUGCUCAGAGAUAUGAUUUAGUGGAGGGUUGUUAGAGUUAGGGUAGCAUGAUUAGGCUGUGGUUGGACUUGAUGAUCUUUAAGGUCUUUUCCAACCUGAGCAAUUCUACGGUUCUAUGAUUCUAUGAUUCCUGCUCUGGUCUUGGCCAGCACAGAUCACUAACUCCAACCCCUGGCACCUGCACCAUCCCACCAUUCCUUCUGCAGAUGUGAAAUUCAGCAUGAGCAAAACUCACCCAGGUCUAGGUCAUAACAAGCCCUAGGUUAGAAAAACGUGGUGUUGUCAAUUUUAGUUGGUGUUUUGACUAAAUAUGCAAGGAUUAAUGGUACAAGUGGUUAUUCCAGCAUAUCUGAGAGGCCGUAUCCUCUGGAAAGGUGAACAAACAGCAUGACAGUGGCGGUGGGCUGCCUGGCAUGGGGUGGGUUCUUGUUCAAAUAGCGUCCUCCUCUCACCAAGCAAUAUCUGCCCGUGGUCUAAUAUUGAGUUAAACUGUUCUUACCUUAAAUAAAUGAAAGAUGUCUUAGUGCUUCAUUAUUGCAUAU
ensembl:lncRNA